ACCUGCGUUAAUUGUAGCGUCCGUUCCGUCGCCAUGAGACCUGAGGCCCUCUAGAGAGGCGUGGGCCGUCUAGGCUGGUGGGCCGCGCGACGGUGCAGCAGUAGUAGCCGUCGGUACUAGAGGAGCUCGUUCGACUUCAGGCAGCUGAAGAUGUCCUUUUAAGGAUCCCUAAACUGCCUCCGUAGUGAUAGACCACGACCUAAUAGGUAUAAACGUCGUGACCGUUACCACAAAAACAAACCUUACCUCGACUCAUCAAUGAAUCGUCAGUUAUGGUGGUGUAGACAUUAACAACUGUCCUCAAGUCUACCCCUCAAGAAUGCCUAUCUAAAAUUGAACUCGAAAGGACGCGAAAGUACACUUAAACGUAGUCAACUACAGUCACUACACGACCCUUGUUUGUCUGAUUUGUAUUGCUUUUGACAAGCGUUCAAAAGUUAACUAGCCUUAAAUCAUGGAUGACCUAGACUCAAGGUACGACCUGGAUAUGGGUGACAGUUGUUUGUGCCUCUACUACAACUUCUUAUGGUACCACUACCAAGUCAACGGAACAGGAGAGCGUUAAAACUAUCGAUAAGAGUGGUCAUGGGACAAAACCAACAGUUGAAAAUACGGGGGACCACAAUAACCUCGUUAGCAGACUUUGGAAGUACCCUUUUCCGACGCGUUUAUUAUUCCCUCUCUAUACUGGGACUUUACCUACCGUCUUAAGAAGAGCCCUUUCAACUGACGUGACUCCUUCAACUUGACACAUUCUCCGUGGUAUAUGUUCCAAUGGGUAGUUAAGCGUAAAAAGUAUUUCCCUCACUAUACUUCCUCUUAGUCCCAGUGGUACUAGUACUGAGUAUGAUACCCCUUGCACUAUGGCUUUCAAAUCAGCGCCGUUACCUUUGUAUACAACGUUUAUAAGGUUUUCUCCGGGUACACGAACGAAACCUUCUGUUCAGGUUGUUCUGACAACUAGGACGUUUCGCAGGACGAGGUUACUGGCCACCGACGUCUUAUCUUCCAAAACACGCCCAGUUUUUCCAAGGACCGUCACAACAUUAUAGUCGAGCUAGACCAAGUGUGAGCAAACUAGGUAGAGUCUAUUUACAAAGGGUGAUGCAGUGUUGUAAGAGUAAACCGUUUUCCGAGAGUAGUUUCUACAAGUUACUUGACUUUUCUGAUAAAGGGAUACAACCGCCUGUGGUACUAUCUAAUCGACCAGUCAGAAUGUAGCAAUUCGUACCACUACAGUUACGUUUACAAUGAUAACUCGUAAUGGAUGUUUAACAUUUCUGACUCGACCAAUGCGACUCUAUGCGUUUCCUCAACUUUCACGAACUUCUUAUACUUAUGUGUCGUGUGUCGUCGAACCACGUGUCGAAGAUACAGGGACAACACUUUAAGGUAAAACUCGGAAGAGGGUACGUCCAGGACCACUGACUUGAAGGUUUUAGCAAGAGGGUGAAGUAGUGUUUGCAGACACGAUAAUAACCACCUCAAAAGUGCCACCGGCCGUAUGAACUGAGGUAGAACGUGUUGUGCGAUUCCAACCACUUCUUCCAACUCGAUCCCUUCCUGUAAACUUGCUAUCAUCUAGGAGUCUUCGCGAGCUAAGGAACGCCAACGGGAUCAAUCAUUAAUAAAAACAUGACAAUCGUUAAGAAUUAGAUAAUUAAUUGUAUAUGUCGCCCUGCCCCAACCAAACUUACUACACCAGUACUAUAUUGACCCAUGAAGUGACAAGGCGAUUCAUUUACCCUUAUUUCUCUGCGACCUAGGAAUAUCGAAAUAGGACUAGAACACUGGUCAGGUUAAGGUUAAAGUCG
rnacentral:rRNA from 1 species